rnacentral:rRNA from 1 species
CUACGGGGGGCAGCAGUGGGGAAUAUUGCACAAUGGAGGAAACUCUGAUGCAGCAACGCCGCGUGGAGGAUGACACUUUUCGGAGCGUAAACUCCUUUUAUAUAGGAAGAUAAUGACGGUACUAUAUGAAUAAGCACCGGCUAACUCCGUGCCAGCAGCCGCGGUAAUACGGAGGGUGCAAGCGUUACUCGGAAUCACUGGGCGUAAAGAGCGUGUAGGCGGGUUAAUAAGUCAGAAGUGAAAUCCUAUGGCUCAACCAUAGAACUGCUUUUGAAACUGUUAAACUAGAAUAUGGGAGAGGUAGAUGGAAUUCCUGGUGUAGGGGUAAAAUCCGUAGAGAUCAGAAGGAAUACCGAUUGCGAAGGCGAUCUACUGGAACAUUAUUGACGCUGAGACGCGAAAGCGUGGGGAGCAAACAGGAUUAGAUACCCCCGUAGUC